GAUGAACGCUAGCUACAGGCUUAACACAUGCAAGUCGAGGGGCAGCAUUAGGUAGCAAUACUGAGAUGGCGACCGGCGCACGGGUGCGUAACGCGUAUCCAACUUUCCCGUUACUCUGGGAUAGCCUUCCGAAAGGGAGAUUAAUACCGGAUGGUGUUGAAAUUUCGCAUGUUAUUUCAACUAAAGAUUUAUCGGUAACGGAUAGGGAUGCGUGACAUUAGGUAGAUGGCGGGGUAACGGCCCACCAUGCCUACGAUGUCUAGGGGUUCUGAGAGGAAGGUCCCCCACACUGGAACUGAGACACGGUCCAGACUCCUACGGGAGGCAGCAGUGAGGAAUAUUGGUCAAUGGUCGGAAGACUGAACCAGCCAAGUAGCGUGAAGGAUGAAGGUUCUAUGGAUUGUAAACUUCUUUUAUAUAGGAAUAAAGCCCACUACGUGUAGUGGUUUGUAUGUACUAUAUGAAUAAGCAUCGGCUAACUCCGUGCCAGCAGCCGCCGUAACAC
rnacentral:rRNA from 1 species